GGCACUUUGGCCGAGUGGUCUAAGGCGCCGUGUUCAGGUUCAUCUGAAGCGAUUCAGAAGAUCCGACUUCGCGGUCUAGUAAUAGGCGUGGGUUCGAAUCCCACAGGUGUCA